rnacentral:tRNA from 1 species
CCAGUAUGGUGAAAUGGUAGACACAUUACCUUAAGGAGGUAACGGUAUUUAUACCAUGUGAGUUCAAAUCUCACUACUGGCA